UACGUAGGGUGCGAGCGUUAAUCGGAAUUACUGGGCGUAAAGUGUGCGCAGGUGGCCGCGCAAGUCGAGUGUGAAAUCCCCGAGCUUAACUUGGGAAUUGCGCUCGAAACUACGUGGCUCGAGUGUGGCAGAGGAAGGUGGAAUUCCACGUGUAGCGGUGAAAUGCGUAGAGAUGUGGAGGAACACCGAUGGCGAAGGCAGCCUUCUGGGCCAACACUGACGCUCAUGCACGAAAGCGUGGGGAGCAAACGGG
rnacentral:rRNA from 1 species